rnacentral:rRNA from 1 species
CCAGACUCCUACGGGAGGCAGCAGUGGGGGAUAUUGCACAAUGGGGGGAACCCUGAUGCAGCGACGCCGCGUGGGUGAAGAAGCGCCUCGGCGCGUAAAGCCCUGUCAGCAGGGAAGAAAAUGACGGUACCUGAAGAAGAAGCCCCGGCUAACUACGUGCCAGCAGCCGCGGUAAUACGUAGGGGGCAAGCGUUAUCCGGAUUUACUGGGUGUAAAGGGAGCGUAGGUGGCAUGGUAAGCCAGAAGUGAAAACCCAGGGCUCAACUCUGUGGAUUGCUUUUGGAACUAUCAAGCUAGAGUGCUGGAGGGGUAAGCGGAAUUCCUAGUGUAGCGGUGAAAUGCGUAGAUAUUAGGAGGAACACCGGUGGCGAAGGCGGCUUACUGGACAGAAACUGACACUGAGGCUCGAAAGCGUGGGGAGCAAACAGGAUUAGAUACCCCAGUA